GACGUAGGGGACAAGCGUUAUCCGGAUUUACUGGGCGUAAAGCGCCCGUAGGCGGUCUGUCAAGUUGGACGUGAAAGCUCCUGGCUUAACUGGGAGAGGCCGUUCAAAACUGACAAGCUAGAGUUUGGCAGAGGAGCGUGGAAUUCCCGGUGUAGUGGUGGAAUGCGUAGAGAUCGGGAGGAACACCAGUGGCGAAAGCGACGCUCUGGGCCAAAACUGACGCUGAGGGGCGAAAGCGUGGGGAGCGAACGGG
rnacentral:rRNA from 1 species